rnacentral:rRNA from 1 species
GACGAACCGUGCGAACGUUAUUCGGAAUCACUGGGCUUAAAGCGCGAUGUAGGCGGACGGGGACGUUCGGUCGCUGAAAUCCCCGGGCUCAACCCGGGGAACUGCGUCCGAUACUGGAAGGCUUGAAUCCGGGAGAGGGAUGCGGAAUUCCAGGUGGUAGCGGUGAAAUGCGUAGAUAUCUGGAGGAACACCGGUGGCGAAGGCGGCAUCCUGGACCGGCAUUGACGCUGAGGCGCGAAAGCCAGGGGAGCAAACGGG